rnacentral:tRNA from 1 species
AAUAAAGUGCCUGAUUUAAUAGGUCUAUUUUGAUAGGAUAGCUCAUGUGAUUUUUCACCUUUAUUA